rnacentral:lncRNA from 10 species
AGGCUGGAAGCCUGGAUGGCUAGAAAUUCUUACCCUUUUGCAGCUAAUCAGGUUCCCGGAUUCCCUUAACUGAGGCUUCCAGAAGGGUGGGACUUUGAUCAUCUUGUCUGUGACAUCAAACUAUAGAAACUAUAGGAACUAAGGAGAAUCUUCCCCUUGGCUCUCUGAAGUUUUGCUGAAAAAUCUACUCAUAAAAGGCAGAUUAGUUGGAGAAAAGGCAUGCAAAUAUAUUUAAAGUGUAUACGUGGGAGCCUUUAGAAUGAAGACCCAAUGAUACAGGGAAAGUGACUUUUUUUUUUUUUUUUUAAAGACAGAGUCUCGCUCUGUUGCCCAGGCUGUGCUGGAGUGCAGUGGCACGAUCUCGGCUCACUGCAACCUCCACUGCCUGGGUUCAAGCGACUCUCCUGCCUCAGCCUCCCAAGGAGCUGGGAUUACAGGCAUGCACCCACCAUGCCUGGCUAAUUUUUUGUAUUUUUAGUAGAGACGGGGUUUCACCAGGUAAACCAAGCUGGUUUUGAACUCCUGACCUCAAGUGAUCUGCCUGCCUCAGCCUCCCAAAGUGCUAGGAUUACAGGUGUGAGCCACUGCACCCAGCCGGAAAUUGACAUUUUUUAUGCUUAGGUUUAACAAAGCAUGGACAGCCCUGUAGAACUGUGAUUGGACAAAAAACGUACAAUCUAAUGCUAAUAGACUGAGUGAGGAAACCCAGCAAGGGCCUGUCUGUCUAGAUUCUUCUUGGCCUCCCUGGACACGCAUUUCUUCCUUCAAAGUAUGGGGCAGGACCCUCUCUGGAAUGGGGGUAUUAGGACCUACAGUCAAAUAAGGGGACCUCUGACCCAAGAGUUCGGUCAAUGCAUAUGUUGGCAGCCAGCUGCACAUCGCACCAAAUAUGAACUUCAAAUAGAAGAAAGCCUCAUUUGGAAGAAAGCUCAUGCACAGACUGUAAAUAUUUCAGAGCAGAUUGUGUCUCUGUAGAUUAAGUAAGUUGUGAAAGUCUGAACCUCUGCCAAAAUUUUAAGACCUUGACCUUUACAUCUCUGAGUUUCUAUCUGUCAUUUUUCCUUUCUAUCUGUCAUUUUACCUUUCAUACUUAUAAAAUGGAAUUCAUAAUCUUCUCAGCCUACCAAGUGUUAGUGUUCUAGGGAUUCAGAUAAAAUAUGUAUGAAAUUACUUUGAAUUACCUAAAACAUGACAUUUAUUCAUUCAACAAGUAUUUGUUGAACAUAUACGUCCUUCCUGGUGCUGUGUCAGGUGCUGGUGAAUAUAGCUGUGGUCAUGGCAGACUUUACCUCUGCUUUCAUAACUGUAACAUGAAAGUGUUGCUACCACAGUCAUGUUAUUAGAACGACUACUUUAACAUCGACUACUAAUAUAAAAUUUGUAGAUGUUUAAAUGAAAUCAUUAUUUGUGUAACCAUUAAUAUCCUGUGUAAUGUUAUAAUAUUUGGGGCACCUUUGUAAUUGUUAAAUGAUUUAUUUCAUUCCCAGGUGAGUUUGUAGAAAAUAAUACAAUCACUCUCAAUUCCAUUAGUGUUUUUACUUUCAGUUUGAUUCACAUUGCUCAUCCCAGUCUGACGUAAGUCAUCACCUACAAGAACCAGACAAGGAAAAACAGAACAAACUUGAAAGAAAUCAGCUAUCAUAUCUCUAUAAAUGUAUUCUGCCUCUAUUUUUCAUUUUCUUUUAGUAAAGUACUUUAUAAGAAAAACAAUGAAGGGCAGGGAAUUAGAAUCUACUCAAGCAUCUGCUGUAUUCUAGACAUUUUAUGUCCAUCGUCUCCUUCACACACCUUGGCACUCCACAAUGCAGAGGUUACUAUCCCCAAUUUGUAGAUGGAGGAUGAGAGGCAUUGAGAGAUGAAGUGACUUUUCAGACUCAGUCAGUUGCUCUCUAAAGCCAAUGCUCUUUCCACUGUACCUAACAAUUUUGUUGUAUCAAUCUGUUUAACUACAACAUGAUAUUAUUUAAUGUGACUCAGUUCAUAUGCUAUUGGUCAGUAGGGAAUUGAUGUGAAUUUUGUUGGUCUUGUCAGCAAACAGUUUAUUUUUCCAGUAUGACAAUGUUGUGACAAGAUCAGAAGCCAGCUUUCUCACCAUUAAAUCAAAGUCUUAUCAAUAUAUGGAGACUUUUAUGGAAAGAAACCUGAAAUUACGCAGAAAUGCCUUCCGCAAGAAGUGGCUAGUAUGGUGGCUUCAAGAACAGUGACAUUUUUCAGUAUGUCCGUUGUUCUAAGACGUUAGUACAUCACAAUUACCUAGAAAACUUGUUAAAACACAGAAGUCUGGGCUCCCCCUCUUGGCCAACCCCCAUUCCCAGAGGGUUUCUGUUUCCAUGGGUCUGAAAUACCACCUAACGAUUGGCAUUUCUAACAAAUUUCUGCAUGAAGCUGCUGGUCUGAGGACCACACUUUGACAACCAGUGCACUACAUUAAGCUAUCUGGAGAAGCUGCAAAUGCAGAUGAAGAAGCUACAAAUUUUUCUAUGUCAACAAAAAUUGACUGAUGAGGGUGACCUUCGGAUCAUGUUUUUAAUGUUUAUGAAACUGGUCUCAUUAUCAGAAGUAAAUGGCUUCAAGAACUUCAGCCUGAGGAAGAAAACAUGAGUCCUAGGCAUAUCAGGCUACAACCAUGUUUGGAAUGAAUCUAGGUGCAAAUCUCAGUGGAGAAUUAACUGUACCAAUAUUUUAAUUAGGAUUACUAAUGUUUUGUUACUUCCUGAUUACAAGGUUCUAUAGGUUUUGAAUGAUCCACUGUAAUCCUGUUUCUUUUCCAUAAGUCGUGUAGUUUUUAGCAUGUAAUUAUGCAGACCAUAAGGUUUUUCAGGAAUACUAAUAUGGCAUUAGAUUAGAAAUGCUAUAUUAAAAAUUCUUAUUAAAUCUACUGAUAGUAACCAAAAAAUAGAAGAUUCAGAAGAACUAGCAAAUGUGGAGAGAACGGAUGAAAUGGAAGCAGUGUGAACCUAGUGAAUACUUGCCAAGCUGUAUCUCCCCUGAAUUUGUCAAAACAUCAUCUCCAGCAUCUGAGCUAGACCAACCCUCAGUGCUAACAUUGAUGUGAUUAAAGAGUCUGAACUGGGAGCAGAAUUCCUUCAGGUAUUUUGUUAAUAAAAUAAAGCUCUCCAUCUCUCCUUAAAUUAAACAAGCCUGCUCUCCUGGAUCAUGUUUUGAACAUAGUUCAUUUUACGAAAGGCUUCCCUUUGGGGCCCUUUAUUUUAAUUCUGGUUGUGCAAAUCAGCCCAUGUUCUGUUCAUGAGGGACACCUGUUUAUUCCCCGUGAAAACAAAUUCGUUGGAUGCACCCUGGGAGGCUACAAGGAGGGAAGUGAGAACGUGCAGAGCAGGUAGAAAGAGAAGUGAGAGGCUGGGCGCGGUGGCUCACGCCUGUAAUCCCAGCACUUUGGGAGGCUGAGGCGGGCUGGAUCACGAGGUCAGGAGAUCGAGACCAUCCUGGCUAACACGGUGAAACCCCGUCUCGACUAAAAAAUACAAAAAAUUAGCUGGGCGUGGUGGAGGGCGCCUGUAGUCCCAGCUACUCGGGAGGCUGAGGCAGGAGAAUGGCGUGAACCCGGGAGGCGGAGCUCGCAGUGAGCUGAGAUCGCGCCACUGCACUCCAGCCUGGGCGACAGAGCGAGACUCCGUCUCGGGGAGAAAAAAAAAAGAGAAGUAAGAGCUUGCAGGAGAGGGUACCUGAAGCACCUGAGAUUUGGGAGUCUUGUCCCCUGCGUCCUGCCAAAAGUCUUGCCAUGCUCCUCCUUCGCCAAAUAAAUGAAGAGCCAAAAUGCCACCCACUAAAAUUAACAUGAAAGGGGAUAAAAGAUGUGAUGUUUGCUCCUAACCUGUGUAGAUUGAAACAAGGUUCCCUGUGUUCUCUAGCCUCAUGCCAUGGGUUGGUGGGGGGUGGGAUGGGAGGGCGAAGUUUACAGGAAAUCAUCCCCGGUGUUUCAAUAGUGCUUCAGUAGCUGGUAUUGUCACCUUAAUUUAGCUAGAUAGAGAGUUUAUCCCUGGACCACGAUGUAAGAGAAUACGAAUGUUUUAAUCCUAUAUAAGCUUCUAGUGACUGGUUUGGCUGAAUUAGACAAUAUGGAAAUUGAGUGAAAACUUGCUGAAAAUGUGUUUCUCAAAUGAGCCUGAGUAGGUAAAUUAAAGGCAGAAAUCUCCUGGUGAGCCAGUGUCUGCAAAGCCUUCAGGGGAAAACAACUUACUAGUUAAAUAACGAAAUCAGGAUCUUAAAUGAUGUAGCAAGGCGUUCCCCCCACCCCUUUUAAACAAUGGCCUUAAUUAAAAAGACCACAGUUCUGUGCUGAUGGGGAGGUUACUGUACGUUUGGAGAAAAGGACUAGAUGGUGUUCUGAGUUAAUUAAAAUGUUCACUUUGGGUAAAUAUUCCAGUUCCUGUGGCGAUGACAGCCAACAGUUCAUAAGCUGAAUGUAACUGUUUGACAAGUAUCUGAAUGAACAGCUUACCUUGAGAAACCCAAUGUUGUGUGAUAAGUUACAAAUGCAGUAAGUUCUCCAUCUGCUACAGUCUUAAUCAAAUCUCCCUGAGUAAAGGCAUUUUUCAAGCAAGUAGAAUGCAAGAGAGUGUCCCUGCAUACUAAACCUGUGUGGCAUGUAAUUUAGAAUCUUUGUUUCGGGAAAUAGUUUAUAUCUUGAUAUGCACUGAAGUUAUUAGAUAGAUAUGCAGUUACCAGGGUAUAUGUAGAAGUAGCUAUUAAACAUCAGUGUGCACUAGAAUCAUUUGGAGGGUUUAUGAAACCCUAGAUUGCUAGGCCCCACCCCCAAGAGUUUCUGAUUCAGCAGACCAAGGUUGAGGUUUGCAUUUCUAACAUUUGUAUUUCUGUUAGAACAUUCCAGGUGAUGUUGGAGCUGCUGAUUCAGAGACCACACUUUGAGAACCAUAGAAAAGAUAUUGGUGAUAGAGUAGUAAGAGCUUCCACUAGGAAUUGUGGCACCCGGAAUCUCUUCUAAUUAAUCAUCAAUAUGACCAAGGUCAAGCCACUUGGUCUUAUUGAGGUUGACUUGAUGGCUUCCUACAACUCCACGUUAGAAUUAUUGGGUGAAAUUACUGAUGAGGAGAGAAUUCUGCUAAGAUUGUUAAUUGACCAUAGUUUAUCAAUUAUCCUUGAAACUGUUACCUGAUAGUGAAUAUUUUCCAACUUGAAGAAAAUGCUUGAAGAAAAAAAGACACCUAAGCUGCCAUUAUCAAUCAGUUAUUACAUAAUCAAAGAACAUUCAACUUCCGAAUCAAUAGACUGUGCUUUGGAAAUGUUCUUUGAUUGUCCAAUUAGGGCCAACUCCUGGGCCAUGCUCCAUCACUCAAACCCUCCCAGAUUCUCAGAUGCCUACAUAGUUUUUCUGUGAUCUUUUCAUCUGAUUUAGCCUGAGCUGCUUUGAUUCAAGACUAUUUGGCCUAGGGAUUUUAAGGAACUGGGAAAGCUCAUUGAUUAUUUUCUUUUAGAUUAAGCUACAUAUGUUAAAAGUCACUAAGCAAUCAGGUCUGAAAAAUCUCAUUUGCCACAGUGAAGGAAAACAGCAACAUUUGGAUCUUGUGUUUCAGGCCAGGAAUAGAAAAGCAGCAUGCAACUGGGCCAACUCUAGAGACCACUAUUUGCUGUGUUGUUAUAUUAAUCACUUAAAUAUGCUUCCAAAUGUAAGUCAGGUCCUCUUCCUGGCCAUGUUUGAGUAAUGUAAUCAUAGGUUAGUGACUGACAUAAGAUACUUGAAUGUUGUUUUAUUCAGCAUUGUUAAGCAUUGGUUCAUGGUGCAGCAACAUAAAAACAGAAUAAUUUUAAAGUCAUUCUCAAACUUCUUAUCUGUAAGCAUCAUUUAAUAUUACUAAUCAUAACAUGUAUCUCAUGGAAUAUCCUACCCUUGCCUCAGACUCUAAGUCCCACAACUAAUGACUUGUCUUACCUGGAGAAUAAAGACACAGGUUUCCAUAUAUGGAGCCAUCUGGGCAUCCUUCUAGAAGACCAAUUUGGAGCAUCAUUUAUCUUUUUAAUUUUCAAUUGAUCAUGGACAAAGAGGAGAAUGGCCACCAGCUUCCUUACAAUUGCUAAUAUUAGAAAAUUAUUUGAAAAUGCAUACUGGGCUGUUUCUGUACUAACUAUUCCCCAUUUCGUCUUUGGAUAUUAUUUUCUAGAACAGAUAAACACUUAUUUAUGUUUAAAAUUUGUUACAAAGCCAAAAUUUUUUAGAAAAAAAGCCAUUAAAUUUGCAGAUAAGAAAAAUAUUUUUCUAUAUUUAUAAAUUAAAAUUCCAAUCCUAUGUAAAAGUUCUCUGUUAUUUCUGCAAAAUUAUUUUAUCUCACGUUUGAAAAACAAUAAAUAUUAUAUAAUGUGCUACAUUUAGAAGAUGAUGACAUGAGCAAAGUGUAACAAACUAGAACACAUUUAUGAAGACUAUCAAACCAGAAGCCAAAUACACCUUUCCCUGGAAUUAUCUUUCUGCUCAGAAAGGAAACCAUUAGGCUAAUAUUAAGAAUAUAGAUUUUCAAUAAAAUAGAACCAAAUAUCUUUCAAUUUUAAAUAACAAAUUCUGUGUAAGAUGAUGAUUGCUUAUAACAAUAACAUGAAGAAAUUCUCACCUAAUGGUCUUGAUAUAUUUUAUAAUUUUAAUGAUUUCCUUGAACAUUAAGAAAAAUUUAUUUCUGAGGGCUGUAAUGACAUUGCAUAACUAGCCUUUUAAAUGUCAUGUAACUCAAGAAAAAAGAAACGAUAUUAGCUUCCAUUUGGACAGUACCUGACAGAUUCUCAUAAACAGCCUUAUUGAGAUAUAAUUUACUCAAAGUGUGCAAUUCAACUGUUUUUGGUAUAUUUGCAGAUAUAUGAAACCACCAUCACAGUUAAUUUUAGAACAUUUUUAUUGCCUCAGAAAGAAACUCCAUACAUUUUAGCUAUCACCCCUCUACCUCCAUCCCAACUUCCUCAGCUCUAAUCAACAACUAAUCUAUGUCUAUAGAUUUUCCUAUUUCGAACUUUCGUAUGAACAGAAUUAUAUCACAUGUGAUCUUUUGUGACUAUUUCACUUAAUAUGUUUUCAAAGUUCAUCCACAUGUUAGAAUGUAUCAGUAUGAUUCUCUUUUAUAGCCAAAUAAUAUUCCAUUGUUUGGGUAUAUCACAUUUCUUUUACCCAUUUGUCUGUGGAUUAACAUUUGGGAUCAGGUACACUAAUGUUUACAGCAUCAUUAUCUAUAAUAUCUAAGUGUUUAUGUGGAAAUGUUUUCAUUUCUCUUGGGUGUAUCCCCAAGGAUGGAAAUGCUGGAUCAUAUGGUAAUUCUCUGUUUAAUUGUUUGAGGAAUUCCAGACUGUUUUCCAAAAUGGCUACACCAUUUUACAUUCCUACCGGCAGUGAAUGCAUGUUUUGAUUUCUUCACAUUCUCACCAAACUUAUUUAUGUCUUUUUUAUUCUAGCUAUCCUGAUGUGUGUGAAAUGGUAUCUCGUUGUGGUUUUAAUUUGCACUUCUGUCCUGGCUAAUAAUGUCAAGUAUCUUUUCAUAUGCUUAUUGGUCAUUUGUAUUAUCUUUCUUGGAGAAAUGCAUGUUCUGAUCUUCUGCCCAUUUUUAAAUUGGGUUAUUUGUCUUUUUAUUGAGUUGUAAGAGUUCUUUAUAUAUUCUAGAUACAAGUCCCUUAUUAGAUAUAUGGCAAAUAUUUUAUUCCAUUCUGUAAAUAUUUCACUUUCUUGAUGGUGUCUGCUGAAGCACAAGAGUUUUUAAUUUUAAUAAAAUUCCAUUUAUUUUUUCUUUCAUUGCACAUGCUUUUGGUGUCAUAGCUAAGAAUCCUUUGCCAAAUCUGAGGUCAUAAAGAUUUAUGCCUAUAAUUUUUCUAUACGUUUUUUAGUUUUAGCUCUUAUCUUUAGGGCUCUGAUCCAUUUUGAGUUGAUUUUU